rnacentral:lncRNA from 1 species
AAAUUUUUAGCCCUCUAUGUUUUCUGUACAGACCAUUUGGAGCAACUACUCCUGGACUAAAAAAUGAAAGCAUCUAUCACUGAUGAAAAGGUGGUUUACAUCUGUGACUGCAUAAACACAGAGGCAGGUAGACACGGAUUCCCUGGAAGUACCUCCUCAAGGUCAGUGCAGGGCUCCUAAUUGCCCCAGCAGAUUCCCCUUCUCGCAUUAUCUGCACCAAGCAGGUCUCCAGGUGUUCUAGUUGCCGAUGAAGUCCAGUGUGGAGAUGGUCUAGGAGGGUCGUGUUCCAGGCAGCAGAGGAGCGCUCUGUGUGGAAGAGGUUGAAGAUCUGCUGUAGCAUCUCAUGGAGGACAGACAUGACCUGGGCCUUCUGCAACUGGCUCCCUUCUACCAUCUCCUGGGGGAACCUGAAGUCUCUUCUGUCCUUGAGACACAA